rnacentral:rRNA from 1 species
UAACGCGUGGGAAUCUGCCUUGUAGUGGGGGAUAACUUCUGGAAACGGGAGCUAAUACCGCAUAAGCCCUUUUGGUGAGAACCAGCGGGGGAAAGAUUAAUCGCUAUAAGAUGAGCCCGCGGUGGAUUAGGUAGUUGGUGGGGUAAAGGCCUACCAAGCCGACGAUCCAUAGGUGGUCUGAGAGGAUGAUCAGCCACACUGGGACUGAGACACGGCCCAGACUCCUACGGGAGGCAGCAGUGGGGAAUAUUGGACAAUGGGCGAAAGCCUGAUCCAGCAAUGCCGCUUGAGUGAUGAAGGCCUUAGGGUUGU